UACGAAGGGGGCUAGCGUUGUUCGGAAUUACUGGGCGUAAAGGGCGCGUAGGCGGCUUCGCUAGUCGGGCGUGAAAUGCCUGGGCUUAACCCGGGAAUUGCGUUCGAUACUUCGAGGCUAGAGUGUGGGAGAGGUUGGUGGAAUUCCCAGUGUAGAGGUGAAAUUCGUAGAUAUUGGGAAGAACACCGGUGGCGAAGGCGGCCAACUGGACCACAACUGACGCUGAGGCGCGAAAGCCAGGGGAGCAAACGGG
rnacentral:rRNA from 1 species